GCUUACGGCCAUACCACCUUAGGCACGCCGAUCUCGUCUGAUCUCGGAAGCUAAGCAGGGUCGGGCCUGGUUAGUACUUGGAUGGGUGACCGCCUGGAAUACCAGGUGCUGUAAGCA
rnacentral:rRNA from 1 species